GCAGUCGAGCGGACCGACGGGAGCUUGCUCCCUUAGGUCAGCGGCGGACGGGUGAGUAACACGUGGGUAACCUGCCUGUAAGACUGGGAUAACUCCGGGAAACCGGGGCUAAUACCGGAUGCUUGAUUGAACCGCAUGGUUCAAUCAUAAAAGGUGGCUUUUAGCUACCACUUACAGAUGGACCCGCGGCGCAUUAGCUAGUUGGUGAGGUAACGGCUCACCAAGGCGACGAUGCGUAGCCGACCUGAGAGGGUGAUCGGCCACACUGGGACUGAGACACGGCCCAGACUCCUACGGGAGGCAGCAGUAGGGAAUCUUCCGCAAUGGACGAAAGUCUGACGGAGCAACGCCGCGUGAGUGAUGAAGGUUUUCGGAUCGUAAAACUCUGUUGUUAGGGAAGAACAAGUACCGUUCGAAUAGGGCGGCACCUUGACGGUACCUAACCAGAAAGCCACGGCUAACUACGUGCCAGCAGCCGCGGUAAUACGUAGGUGGCAAGCGUUGUCCGGAAUUAUUGGGCGUAAAGCGCGCGCAGGCGGUUUCUUAAGUCUGAUGUGAAAGCCCCCGGCUCAACCGGGGAGGGUCAUUGGAAACUGGGGAACUUGAGUGCAGAAGAGGAGAGUGGAAUUCCACGUGUAGCGGUGAAAUGCGUAGAGAUGUGGAGGAACACCAGUGGCGAAGGCGACUCUCUGGUCUGUAACUGACGCUGAGGCGCGAAAGCGUGGGGAGCGAACAGGAUUAGAUACCCUGGUAGUCCACGCCGUAAACGAUGAGUGCUAAGUGUUAGAGGGUUUCCGCCCUUUAGUGCUGCAGCAAACGCAUUAAGCACUCCGCCUGGGGAGUACGGUCGCAAGACUG
rnacentral:rRNA from 1 species